rnacentral:rRNA from 1 species
UUGAACGCUGGCGGCAUGCCUUACACAUGCAAGUCGAACGGCAGCACGGGAGCAAUCCUGGUGGCGAGUGGCGAACGGGUGAGUAAUGUAUCGGAACGUACCUUUCAGUGGGGGAUAACGUAGCGAAAGUUACGCUAAUACCGCAUAUUCUGUGAGCAGGAAAGCAGGGGAUCUUAGGACCUUGCGCUGAUUGAGCGGCCGAUAUCAGAUUAGCUAGUUGGUGAGGUAAAGGCUCACCAAGGCGACGAUCUGUAGCGGGUCUGAGAGGAUGAUCCGCCACACUGGAACUGAGACAUGGUCCAGACUCCUACGGGAGGCAGCAGUGGGGAAUUUUGGACAAUGGGCGCAAGCCUGAUCCAGCCAUGCCGCGUGAGUGAAGAAGGCCUUCGGGUUGUAAACCGCUUUUGCCAGGGAAGAAAUCCUUUGAGCUAAUACCUCGGAGGGAUGACGGUACCUGAAGAAUAAGCACCGGCUAACUACGU